rnacentral:rRNA from 13 species
GAGAAGGGCGUUUGGUGAAUGCCUUGGCAGUAAGAGGCGAUGAAAGACGUGAUA